rnacentral:rRNA from 1 species
ACCCGCUGAACUUAAGCAUAUCAAUAAGCGGAGGAAAAGAAACCAACAGGGAUUGCCCUAGUAACGGCGAGUGAAGCGGCAACAGCUCAAAUUUGAAAUCUGGCGUCUUUGGCGUCCGAGUUGUAAUUUGCAGAGGGCGCUUUGGCAUUGGCAGCGGUCCAAGUUCCUUGGAACAGGACGUCACAGAGGGUGAGAAUCCCGUACGUGGUCGCUAGCCUUUACCGUGUAAAGCCCCUUCGACGAGUCGAGUUGUUUGGGAAUGCAGCUCUAAAUGGGAGGUAAAUUUCUUCUAAAGCUAAAUAUUGGCGAGAGACCGAUAGCGAACAAGUACCGUGAGGGAAAGAUGAAAAGCACUUUGGAGAGAGAGUUAAACAGUACGUGAAAUUGUUGAAAUGGAAACGCUUGAAGUCAGUCGCGUUCUCUGGGAUUCAGCCUUGCUUUUGCUUGGUGCAUUUCCUAGUCUACGGGCCAGCAUGAAUUUUGACCAAUGGAAAAAGGCUGGGGGAAUGUGGCACCUUCGGGUGUGUUAUAGCCCCUUGUCACAUACGUUGGUUGGGAUUGAGGUCUUAGUGCACGCUUCGGUUGUGCUUUGAUGCUGGCGUAAUGGCUUU